rnacentral:lncRNA from 1 species
UUCCUAUUUAAGCUUGUUAUUAUUCUGAGUUAAUCACUUCUAAUUACACUUAAACCCACUCCUUCAUUAAGUUAUAUAGUUUAGGACCCUUACUCAUACCUUUCUUGAACAGAUUAUGCUGAAGUUUCACGAAAAACGCAGCAUGACCCAGGUACGGUAAUUUGACCAUAACUCAAGUUGUAGAGGUCUGAUUGAGGUGAAACCAAAUCCAUUGGAAAGCUAACAGACAUACCUAAAACUUUCAUGUUUUGACCGAAA